AGUGAACGCUGGCGGUAGGCCUAACACAUGCAAGUCGAACGGCAGCACAGUAAGAGCUUGCUCUUACGGGUGGCGAGUGGCGGACGGGUGAGGAAUACAUCGGAAUCUACUUUUUCGUGGGGGAUAACGUAGGGAAACUUACGCUAAUACCGCAUACGACCUACGGGUGAAAGCAGGGGAUUUUCGGACCUUGCGCGAUUGAAUGAGCCGAUGUCGGAUUAGCUAGUUGGCGGGGUAAAGGCCCACCAAGGCGACGAUCCGUAGCUGGUCUGAGAGGAUGAUCAGCCACACUGGAACUGAGACACGGUCCAGACUCCUACGGGAGGCAGCAGUGGGGAAUAUUGGACAAUGGUCGCAAGCCUGAUCCAGCCAUACCGCGUGGGUGAAGAAGGCCUUCGGGUUGUAAAGCCCUUUUGUUGGGAAAGAAAAGCAGCAGGUUAAUACCCCGCUGUUCUGACGGUACCCAAAGAAUAAGCACCGGCUAACUUCGUG
rnacentral:rRNA from 1 species